GCCGGGUGCGGUGGCGCGCGCCUGUAAUCCAAGUUACCGGGAGGCUGAGGCUCGAGGAUCGUUUGAGCUCAGGAGCUCUGAGCUGCAGCGGACUAUGCCGAUCGGGUGUCCGCACUAAGUUCGGUAUCGAUAUGGUGUUCCUUGGGGAGUCCGGGACCACCAGGUCGUCUAAGGAGGGGUGAACCGGCCCAGGUCGGAAACGGAGCAGGUCAAAUCCCCCGUGCCGCUCAGUAGUGGGAUCGCGCCUGUGAAUAGACGUUGGAGUGCAGCCUGAGCAAUACAGCGAGACCCAGUCUUU
rnacentral:SRP_RNA from 1 species